UGAGGAAUAUUGGUCAAUGGGGGCAACCCUGAACCAGCCAAGUCGCGUGAAGGAUGAAGGUCUUAUGGAUUGUAAACUUCUUUUAUACAGGAAUAAAUUGGGGGACGUGUCCCCUUUUGCAUGUACUGUAUGAAUAAGGAUCGGCUAACUCCGUGCCAGCAGCCGCGGUAAUACGGAGGAUCCGAGCGUUAUCCGGAUUUAUUGGGUUUAAAGGGUGCGCAGGCGGGAUGUUAAGUCGGCGGUGAAAUUUUGCAGCUCAACUGUAAAAGUGCCUUCGAUACUGGCUUCCUUGAGUGUGGAUGAAGUAGGCGGAAUUUGUGGUGUAGCGGUGAAAUGCUUAGAUAUCACGAGGAACUCCGAUUGCGCAGGCAGCUUACUAAGCCACAACUGACGCUCAUGCACGAAGGCGUGGGGAUCAAACA
rnacentral:rRNA from 1 species